GACGAACGCUGGCGGCGUGCUUAACACAUGCAAGUCGAGCGAUGAAAGCCUUAUGAACUAUUCGUAGUGAUUGGGGCCGGAUUAGCGGCGGACGGGUGAGUAACGCGUGAGCAACCUGCCUUAAACAACGGGAUAGCCUCGGGAAACCGAGAUUAAUACCGUAUGAGACCCCGCCUUCACAUGAAGAAGAGGCUAAAGAUUUAUCGGUUUAAGAUGGGCUCGCGUCUGAUUAGCUAGUUGGUGAGAUAAAAGCCCACCAAGGCAACGAUCAGUAACCGGCUUGAGAGAGUGAACGGUCACAUUGGAACUGAGACACGGUCCAAACUCCUACGGGAGGCAGCAGUGGGGAAUAUUGCACAAUGGGGGAAACCCUGAUGCAGCGACGCCGCGUGAGCGAUGAAGGAAUUCGUUUCGUAAAGCUCUGUCCAAGGGGAAGAUAAUGACAGUACCCUUGGAGGAAGCCCCGGCUAAAUACGUGCCAGCCGCCGCGGUAAUAC
rnacentral:rRNA from 1 species